GCUCUCCCAGAGACCAUUUUUAAAGGGCUGGGUUUGCUCAGGAGCCUCAGCAUUCUUCUGCCCAGGAGAAGGGACAGCGUCAAGGAGGACAUUUCAACAGAGAACCCUGGGAGGUGUCUGGCAUGGAGAAGAUGCUCCCUUAAUGUAGUUGCACUGCUCAGGAAGUAAGGUUUGGGUCUCAGUGUGUUGGAUGGUGCCUUCCGUCCUUAUCUCUGCUAAGAUGACCUUUCCUUCCGCUUCUCUCUGGCCCUCCUACCCUGGCCAGACCCUGCAGGGAUGGUGGCUCAGGCUUGAGAUGCUGCAUUCCUCUCAGGUCGGGCCCACCGAGACCCAGAGCCCACGGAGGCCUCCUUCCCCUCCUUGACGUUUGUCCUGCAAGUCCGGAUGCCAACUCCAAGGCGUUCCGUCUGGGCCUGGGCCAGAGUAGCUGUGGCAGAGCGCUCCUCCCUCCCCCGCCAGCCUCCUUGGGUGCAGACAGCCCAACACAGGCAGGAAGGGCCUUCUGUUUGCCUUGGCUGGUGGGGAAGAGAUAGUGCUCGCUUUCUGUUUUGACUCUUGUAUCUAACUAACAGGCAGGCCUGUGACAUCAUAGAAAGGCACGCUUGAGCCUUGAAUGAGUUUGGGGCCUGUUCCUAAGGCCUGGCCCUUAUAGAGGUGGCUGGAGGUAGGAAUGAGCGAUACCACCACCCCCUGGGGAUGUGGGGAAAUGCGACGGCCAUCUGUCAGCUCUGCCUACCCAGCGUCCAUGGCCCUUUCUCCUGAUAAUGCCUCUUCCCCUUCAGAGGAUCACCUCUCACCCACCCUGACUUUAGAGGCAGGCAUGGAUCCCAGGAUGGACAUGGAGACUCCCCCUUGGAGGUUUUGUAGCAACUAUGGGGAGAGAGGCAUUUGUUUUUCAUGGGAUUUGCCAGAUUGAUGGAGCUGCUGGUGGCCAUCGUGUUCUCUACCUGAGGUCGAAGCCAACAAAGAGGAAAAAUCACAUAGAUGGAGAGAAUAUGCUGUCUGGACAU